UACGUAGGGUGCAAGCGUUAUCCGGAUUCACUGGGUUUAAAGGGAGCGUAGGUGGGCUGGUAAGUCAGUGGUGAAAUCCCCGAGCUUAACUUGGGAACUGCCAUUGAUACUAUCAGUCUUGAAUACUGUGGAGGUUAGCGGAAUAUGUCAUGUAGCGGUGAAAUGCUUAGAUAUGACAUAGAACACCAAUUGCGAAGGCAGCUGGCUACACAAUUAUUGACACUGAGGCUCGAAAGCGUGGGGAUCAAACAGG
rnacentral:rRNA from 1 species